rnacentral:rRNA from 1 species
GACGAACGCUGGCGGCGUGCUUAACACAUGCAAGUCGAACGUGAAUUUUAUGGAAUAGCCUUCGGGAUAGGAAAUAGAAUGAAAGUGGCGAACGGGUGAGUAACACGUGAGCAACCUACCUUACACAGGGGGAUAGCCGUUGGAAACGACGAUUAAUACCGCAUGAGACCACAGAACCGCAUGGUAAAGGGGUCAAAGAUUUAUCGGUGUAAGAUGGGCUCGCGUCUGAUUAGCUAGUUGGAAGGGUAAAGGCCUACCAAGGCGACGAUCAGUAGCCGGUCUGAGAGGAUGAACGGCCACAUUGGAACUGAGACACGGUCCAAACUCCUACGGGAGGCAGCAGUGGGGAAUAUUGCACAAUGGGGGAAACCCUGAUGCAGCGACGCCGCGUGAGCGAAGAAGGUUUUCGAAUCGUAAAGCUCUGUCCUAUGAGAAGAUAAUGACGGUAUCAUAGGAGGAAGCCCCGGCUAAAUACGUGCCAGUAGCCGCGGUAAUACGUAUGGGGCGAGCGUUGUCCGGAAUUAUUGGGCGUAAAGGGUACGUAGGCGGUCUAUUAAGUCAGGUGUGAAAGCGUGAGGCUUAACCUCAUUAAGCACUUGAAACUGAUAGACUUGAGUGAAGGAGAGGAAAGUGGAAUUCCUAGUGUAGCGGUGAAAUGCGUAGAUAUUAGGAGGAAUACCGGUGGCGAAGGCGACUUUCUGGACUUUUACUGACGCUCAGGUACGAAAGCGUGGGGAGCAAACAGGAUUAGAUACCCUGGUAGUCCACGCCGUAAACGAUGAGUGCUAGGUGUUAGGCCCUUUCCGGGGCUUAGUGCCGCAGCUAACGCAUUAAGCACUCCGCCUGGGGAGUACGACCGCAAGGUUGAAACUCAAAGGAAUUGACGGGGGCCCGCACAAGCGAUGGAGCAUGUGGUUUAAUUCGAAGCAACGCGAAGAACCUUACCAGGUCUUGACAUCCUCCUGACCGGUCUAGAGAUAGGCUUUCCCUUCGGGGCAGGAGUGACAGGUGGUGCAUGGUUGUCGUCAGCUCGUGUCGUGAGAUGUUGGGUUAAGUCCCGCAACGAGCGCAACCCCUAUUGUUAGUUGCCAUCAUUAAGUUGGGCACUCUAGCGAGACUGCCGGUAAUAAACCGGAGGAAGGUGGGGAUGACGUCAAAUCAUCAUGCCCCUUAUGACCUGGGCUACACACGUGCUACAAUGGUUGGUACAACGAGUCGCAAGCCGGUGACGGCAAGCUAAUCUCUUAAAGCCAAUCUCAGUUCGGAUUGUAGGCUGCAACUCGCCUACGUGAAGUCGGAAUCGCUAGUAAUCGCGGAUCAGCACGCCGCGGUGAAUACGUUCCCGGGCCU